UUUUUUUUUUUUCUUUUAAGAUUUAUCUUAGUGAGAGCACGAGUGUGUGAGUGGUGAGAGGGUAGGAGGGAGAGAAUCUUCAACCAGACUCCCCGCUGAGCAAAGAGCCCAACAGGGGGCUCCAUCUCAUGACCCAUAAGAUCACAACCUGACCAAAGCCAAGAAUCAGACACCUAAACCGAAUGAGCCACCCAGGUGCCCCAACCCUGCUGUUGUACCACAAAAGCAGUCAUAGACAAUGUAUAAGGGAACAUCCGUGGCUGUGUUUCAACAAACUUUAUUUACAAAAAUAAAUGGUGGAAAAAAAUAAAUAAAUAAAUGGUGGGCCACACUUGGCCCACAUAGCACGAUUUGCCAACUCCUGAGAGAGAUCACUGAAGAGAUUACAGAAUCAACUUUGUACUGACUUCCCCCACUAUUUGGCUUCAUUUAUCAGCUUACAUAUUGUUCAUUACACUGAAAAAUCUUUCUACAGCUGCGUUCAGGACAGGAAUCAAAGCCUGAAAAUGAAUUAAUUUCAAAAAUAUUAGAGCAUCUGUUAAUUAAGUAACUGUGCUGGCCCCACAGGGAGAAACAUGGUAUAGUUAAAGACAGAACUUCACCAUAAAGGGAAUUAGGAAAGAGAUCUUUUUUUCCUAAGUGAGAGCCAUUAAAUUUUUCUGAUUUCAUCAUGAUCAAAUAUUUACUACAAGAAAUGCAGCAUGUGCUGAAGCCACAAAAAUACAAUAUAAAAAAUUACUCACAGGACACAUUUCCUAGGUACCUUGCAUAAAUAUUUAAAGCUUCUUUUGGUAAAAUUUUCUACCAAAUACACUGGAAAACAAUUGCUUAUACAAUGCAAAUGUAACUCUUUUCUUAAAAAGCAAUCAUUUUUAUCAAGGAAUUGAAUUUUCACAAAAUGAAAGAAAAGGCCAAUUUACUUAUUUGAGCAGUAAAUAAAUAAAUAUAGGAAUGAGUGAAUAAAAUACAGACAAGGGUCUGGAACUACUUGCUAUUGCAGUAGAGUAUAUUAUUGGCUCAGAGUUCUUUCUUCUUCCCUAAUCCUUACCCAUAUUCUCUGAAGUUCACCUCCCCCGUCCCACUGAUGUUGUGCUCAGCCGAGUGACUUGUUUUGGCCAAUGGAGUGUCAACAGAAUUAAUAGUGUGGCAUUUCAGAGCAGAGGCUUUUAACGAUGUCUCACAAGUUUGUUUUUCCCUCUUGCGCUCUGCCAAGAGCCAUCUGCCAUCUUCCAUGGGGAAAGAUGGCCCUUUGCAGUUGUUACCUAUAAUGUAGAACAUGUGGAACAGAUUUGAAUAUGCACUUAAACCCAACUCUUAGCCCAAAGCAGAACCACUCCAAUCAAUCUACAGAUCUGUGGGUGACAAAAUUAAUGCUUGUUGUUAUAUGCCAUUGAGAUUCUGGAGUUGUUGUUCUGCAGUGUUAUCACAUUAAAGCUGACUAAUACAGCUAUUACUUAUCAUAUUAUUUGCCACUUGAUAUUAUCUAUUUUGUAUUAUUUACUAAUUGUUCUUGCUUAAUCAGAAAAUAUUUUUUACAUUGUCAUACAAAAAAUCAUGGUUUGUAAAUAAACUGUCAUCGGUUUAGUAAAAAUGUCUCAACUCUCUUAAUAAACCCAGAUAUCAAGUGUGACUAAGCCUAAUAACUUCAUGGAACUCACUUUCAAAAACUUUUUAACUUUCCAAAUUUUUAAAUGGUGCAGCAUGGUAGUAUUUUGAAAUACUAACAGAUGUGUCCUUUAUUAUUCCAUAAGUUUCACUGAAUCACUACCUGUAGGACCUUUUCUCAGUCCAAGGGCUAGAAAAGAGACCCCUCUUAACCUAAGAAGUAAUGAUGCCACCUAAGAAGUAAUGAUGCCAGCUAUGGAUUGCAACCAUCAAUGGAUCACCAAACUGAUUAAGUACAUCUUAACCAAGAUAUUUUAAAUAAAAAGCAGAUUAGAAAACAUCAGAUUAUAUCACUCAUAAACAGGUAAAUAUUGUUUUACAAAUAUAUGGGAGAAAAAGAAAGACUGAAAUGUGAAAAAAGUCAAAACAAAAACAACUGGGAACCAAUGUCUUAAAGGAAGUUUUAUAUUAGUGGAAUUGAAGGCAUCAAAUACUUAGUUCCAGUUCAAUACCUGACUCUUCUCCAAACUGCAAUAGGCACUUUACUUCCUGCAACAUUCUGGGAUUAUACCUACAUAUAAGGUAAAAUCGAAAGACAUCAUGUAAACAUGGAAAGACCACAAUAAAUAGUAUAUAAAACAAAGUAAUUAUUGAAGGCAUUGCCAUUAAAAUCAGGACCAAGAUAGAAAUGUCUACUAUGACCCUUAAUUUCCAAUGAUGUUUAGAAAGUUUUAGUUCAUGCACUAAGACAAACAGAAUAUGAAAAAGAAAUAUCUUUCCUUCUUGAUGACGAUUGGAUUCCCAGAAAAUUUAAGAUUUAAUAGAAGACAAUUAAUUUGGCAAUGGGGCUAAAUACAAAAUAAAUACAUAAAAUUAACAUCUUUUAUCCAGAUUAACAACAAUAAUCAAUUGAAAAUAUAUGUGAAAAAAAUCAAGAUUGUGAUCAAAACUAUAUAACACAUAAGAACAAGUGCGUUUUUUUUUUAAAGUUACAGGACCUAAGUGAAAGGGCAAGCCAUACAGUAGGAAAAGAUAUUCACAAAGCAUAUAUUCAACAAAAGAACAUAUAAACUGAAUUUUUUUUUAAGUAGGCUCCAUGCCCAGCAUGAGCACUAUGCCGAGCUUACACUCAUGACCCUGAGGUCAAGACCUAAGCUGAGCUUAAGAGUCAGAUGCUUAACCGGCUGAGCCACACAAGUGCCCCCAGAAUAUAUAUUUUAAAAUUCUUUCAAAUCAGUAAGAAAAGACAGCCAGUCCAUUAAAAAAAAAAAAAGGUAAAAGACUUAAACCACACACUCUAUAAAAGAGGCUACCCAAAUGAUUAAAAAAGCCUAUGAAAAAUAUUUAACAUCAUUGGGCAAAAUGAGAUACUACAUACUCAUCAGAAUGGCUAACAUUCUCACUGACAACCUAAGUUGGCAAGAAUAGGGAGGUCUGGUCUGUCACAAAGUUGGCAGUAGCAUCACUUGGCACAGGAACUUUACAGAACUCUGGCAUUCUCUGUUAGAGGUAAACACCUGCAUACAUCUGUCCAGUAAUUCCAUUCCUGGCAUAUCCUCAAUGGAAAUGUGUACAUUAGUGGACCAAGAGACAUGUAUAAGAAUGGUUUGGGUAUUAUUUGUAACAGCCAGAACUUUAAACAACCCAGAUGUCCAGCCAGAGUAGAAUGGAGGAGCAGAAAUGUAAAUGAUACAUCCACUGGAAAUGGGUGGUGAAGGGUGGAAAUGGGUGGAAAUGGUAUGGUGAUUCCUCAAAAAAUUAAUCAUAUGGUUGAGCAAUUCCACUUCUGGGCAUAUACUCAAAAGAGCAGAAAGCAGAGAUCUGAAUGGAUAGCUGUACACCUAUGUUUCUACUAGUAUUAUUCACAAUAGUUAAAAGGUGGAAGCGACCCAAGUGCCCCUCAACAAGUAAAUGGAUAAACACAGAGAAAAUAAAAUGAAUGGAAAACAAAAAUAUUCCAUACAAUGUAAUAUUAUUUAGCCUUAGAAAGAAAAGAAAAUCUGACUCAUGCUACAACACAGAUGAUGAAACUUGAAGACAUUAAUUACACUAAUGAAGUAAGCCAGAUGCAAAAGCACCAAUAUGAUAUGAUACCACUUAUAUGAGGUACCUAGUAUAGCCAGGCUCUUAGAGGUGGAAAGUAGAAUGAUGGUGGCAAGGGGAUGAGAGAAGGAGAAAUGAGGAGUGACUGUUUAAUGCCUAUAGAUUUGAGUUGGGAUGACAAAAGAUCCCUGGAGAUAGAUAGUUGUGAGGGUUGCACAACACUGUACACAUCCUUAAUGCCACUGAAAGGUACACUUAAAAAUGAUUAAAAUGGUGAGUUUUAUGUUAUUUAUAUUUUACCACAAUAAAAAAAUUAACAUUAGAAUUGAUAAGUUGCCAUAUAUUCCUAUAAUAGAAUCAUAUAAAUCAAUGAAAAUGAAGACAACACAGAUUUUUAAUUUUUAAAAUCCAGUAGCUUAAAAAAGUUAGGCGUAUAUUUGAAUAUAUAUAAACAACGACAAAAAACAGAUGCAAAAGGACACUUUUACAUACUUAGAAAUAUAGAAAACAUGUUUUUAGCCAUUUGAGAAUUGCAUUGUGUUCCAGCUUUAUCCAUGAAGUCUUCUGAAAACUGAGGCCAAGAAAAUUUCAAAUGAUUAAGACAAAUACUUACAUAGCUUUUUUAAAAAUAUAUUUUACUGAAUAAACAAAAAGCAGAAACACCAAGCUAUCUGACUCCAUUCUGGGCCCUGGCAUCCCUUCCCUAGCUGCACAGAUUGUUCCCUCCAGCACAGUUCUGAGAUCACAAUCACCUGGCUAGGAGGUAAAGUAAUCAAGGCAGGGAAUGCUUGCUUCUACAGUAUGAGAUCUGGAGGACAGAGAGACAGAGUCCGGAAUGGCCUUCCGAGAGGUUCCUUGCAAAGACUGCAGUUUUUUAUUUAUGUUUCUGAUGCAGGCAGGGAUAGAUUGUUUCAAGUGGCCAAGAAAUAAAAUCCUAUCCAGUUACUCUACAGUCCUUUGGAGAAGAAAAGAUUCCCGGGGCUCCCAUCAAACACUGAACCCAGUGAGAUGCACAGAUACUCAUCCUCCUCUCUUAAAAUCCAGGAGGAGGAUGCUGCCAGCACCAUGCACAGUUAGGGGGUGAAGGCUAACUCAUACCCGGAGCCCAUGAGCCAGGUCUGACUAGCCCUCCGAGGCUCCAAUGUCAAGUGAGCAGAAAAGAGCAACAGAGCACCGUGCAAACAAGGUAGGCCCAGACAAAAAAGAAACUACACUCAGGCUACUGAGGAAAAUUCACUAGGUUUAUUCUUUUAAAAGAAUGACAAACACUCAAAUAAGCAGAAAAGUUAUUACAGCCCUAUAGUACUCUCCUAGGGUUCUCUCACAGAGCCUUCAGAAGGAGCACGGCCCUGCUCACACUGCUAUUAGCUGCCAGAUAUGUGAGGAUUAAUUUCUGCUGCUUUAAGGCACCUACUGUGUGCCAAUUUGUUAUAGCAGCCCUAGGAAACUAAUACAGUGAAAUACACAAAAAAGUAUAUUUGAUGGAAAUGGACAGUUCAAAAUCAGUAAUAAUAAAAUAAACACCCUUUAUCUGUAACCUACUUUUGAAGCCCAUCCAGAGUGCCCUUCGUGGAUCACUGUCCCACCCGUGUCUCUACUAUCCGAAAUUCUGUGUUAAGCAUUCCUUUCAUUUUCUUUAUAAUUUCUUUAUGCAUACAUUUAUAAAUAUAUCCCUCAAACAACAUAGUAUUUAGUCUUGCCUGUUUUGAGCUUUUGUAAAAAUUGAGCCAUACCUUAUAUAUUCUUCUUUAUAUGUUCUUUAAACAAUUUUGUUUUUAAAAGUAAUUCAUGAUGAUGUAUAAUAUUUCAUAUACAAUCUAUUCAUUUUGUUACAAAUAACACUUCAGUGAUUUCCUAAUAUUUUGUUAUUAUAAACAACAUUACCAUUAACAUUCUCAUAUACGUCUCUUAAUACAUAUGGACAUUAUUUUAGAACUAUAAAAACCUGAAUUACAAUAGGUUUAGCAUUGAAAUAGAGUUUCUACCUAACAGGAGAAUUGCUGAAUUAUAGGUUGCAUUUAUGUUCAACUUUAUGAAAGUAUAUUUUAAAUACAUAGAUAAUAGAAUUAAGAGGAACUUUUUAGAUGUCAAAUCACAGACUCAAUGAACCAAGACAGACGAGAUAAAAAAAAAAAAA
rnacentral:lncRNA from 1 species